UACGUAGGGGGCGAGCGUUGUCCGGAAUCAUGGGGCGUAAAGCGCGUGUGGGCGGCCCGGUAAGUCCGCUGUGAAAGUCCAGGGCUCAACCCUGGGAUGCCGGUGGAUACUGUCGGGCUCGAGUCCGGAAGAGGCGAGUGGAAUUCCUGGUGUAGCGGUGGAAUGCGCAGAUAUCAGGAGGAACACCAAUAGCGAAGGCAGCUCGCUGGGACGGUACUGACGCUAAGGCGCGAAAGCGUGGGGAGCGAACAGG
rnacentral:rRNA from 1 species